rnacentral:snRNA from 1 species
GGAUAUGAGGAUGUCCUGGAUGUGGCAUCUGUCACCCCAUUGAUCUGCAGUGUUGAAUCUGGAUGGCUAAGAGGGUGUCCCCUUCCCUGCCUCACCAUUCCAUGUGUGUCCCUCCCAAAGCCACACACUCAGUAGAAAAGGAUAACCCUCUUCUAUGGAGGAAGACCGUUCUUUGGUCAUGGUAUAUGAGUAGCUUCACACCUUGCUAGAUUCUCCAGACAAGCUCCUGAAGUCCACUUGUAGGAGAACAUAGGGUACUUAACUUCCAAGACUUCCAACAUAUCUGAAUGAGGUGCUCACAACAAAUAAACAACCAACCAUGGAAGUAUGUUAUUC